GAGUAAUGUCUGGGAAACUGCCUGAUGGAGGGGGAUAACUACUGGAAACGGUGGCUAAUACCGCAUAACGUCGCAAGACCAAAGAGGGGGACCUUCGGGCCUCUUGCCAUCAGAUGUGCCCAGAUGGGAUUAGCUUGUUGGUGAGGUAACGGCUCACCAAGGCGACGAUCCCUAGCUGGUCUGAGAGGAUGACCAGCCACACUGGAACUGAGACACGGUCCAGACUCCUACGGGAGGCAGCAGUGGGGAAUAUUGCACAAUGGGCGCAAGCCUGAUGCAGCCAUGCCGCGUGUAUGAAGAAGGCCUUCGGGUUGUAAAGUACUUUCAGCGGGGAGGAAGGUGUUGCGGUUAAUAACCGCAGCAAUUGACGUUACCCGCAGAAGAAGCACCGGCUAACUCCGUGCCAGCAGCCGCGGUAAUACGGAGGGUGCAAGCGUUAAUCGGAAUUACUGGGCGUAAAGCGCACGCAGGCGGUCUGUCAAGUCGGAUGUGAAAUCCCCGGGCUCAACCUGGGAACUGCAUUCGAAACUGGCAGGCUUGAGUCUUGUAGAGGGGGGUAGAAUUCCAGGUGUAGCGGUGAAAUGCGUAGAGAUCUGGAGGAAUACCGGUGGCGAAGGCGGCCCCCUGGACAAAGACUGACGCUCAGGUGCGAAAGCGUGGGGAGCAAACAGGAUUAGAUACCCUGGUAGUCCACGCCGUAAACGAUGUCUACUUGGAGGUUGUGCCCUUGAGGCGUGGCUUCCGGAGCUAACGCGUUAAGUAGACCGCCUGGGGAGUACGGCCGCAAGGUUAAAACUCAAAUGAAUUGACGGGGGCCCGCACAAGCGGUGGAGCAUGUGGUUUAAUUCGAUGCAACGCGAAGAACCUUACCUGGUCUUGACAUCCACAGAACUUUCCAGAGAUGGAUUGGUGCCUUCGGGAACUGUGAGACAGGUGCUGCAUGGCUGUCGUCAGCUCGUGUUGUGAAAUGUUGGGUUAAGUCCCGCAACGAGCGCAAC
rnacentral:rRNA from 1 species